UAUUAUUUUGGUGUCUGAUGUUUAUUUCCACGUUAUUUAUUUAGGAAAUCUUCUUUAACAAAACAAGCGCGACAGUCCAUCAGCUUGUUGUGUAGUCUGUGGAUGAAACAGCUGGUACGUGAAAGCGUCGCGCAUGACGCACGCUCACGCUUUACUUCCGUAAACGCGCGUAAAGGGGGCGGGGCUACCAGAACCAGCGUGUCCGCCGCCUACUUGUGCGACCGUGAUGUGUGGCAAACAUCUCUAGAAAAGAAGAUGUCGGUGCUCGGUGUUACUCGAGAGGCUGCGGCACACACAGACUGCGGCCGCCCUGGCUCCUGAACCCAAAAUAAAGAUAGUUUAUCGUUGGGACCCUGAUAAACCUGGAGACAAACCAUGAAUGCAGACACAUGAAUGAGAUUUCAACACAUAAGCCACGACAAUGUCUAUGUUUGCAAGAAUAAUGUAUAGCGAGUGAGGUGAGUAUCAUCACCUUUUACAUAAAUGUAUAAAACUGUUUAAAAUAUUUGUAUGUAACUAUUAAUAUAACUGUGGUCCCAUGGUUCUUAUCAAGAUAAAGAAUGAGAUUGACCCUGCCACACUAUAAUGAACUGAACUAAGACUUGCUCAAAGGAAAAAACCCAGCUGACUUAAGAUCAAACAAUACCUCAAGCCAAGCGAAGAGGAAGUGGAGAGAAAACCAGAAAAGCACAGCUCUUGAGUUUCAUUGGAAAGGAGGGCGUCUGAAGAUACACCACACUUUAUAUUUUUUCCCACAUUGUGAAAUAUCAGAAUCUGUUGUUAAAGCUCAAAAUUUGUUAUUCGGAUAGUUAAUAUUUCAGCACUUUAAAAAGCUGUGCUGAGUUUAUAAUAAAUAUUAAAUAUAGUAGAUGACAAUGAAUAAUUUUCUCAUUUGUUUAUUAUAAUCUUAAUAAAAACACAGAUUUUGUCUUGCCAAAGCAGAAAAACAUAUGUCUCUGGACAAAACAAAAUACCAGAAAAUGUUCAUACAAACAUAAAUCUCCUAAUAAUAAACCCACAGAAUUAUUAUUUUCGGGGUCUCGCGCCUUGCUUUUUAUUUUGUUUCCUGGUCUGCGUUG